rnacentral:rRNA from 1 species
GUAGGAUAAGCUAAGCACACUGUUGGUUAUGUGUGCCCAAGCAUUGAGGCAGUCAAAGUAGGCAAAUCCGCUUUGAUAAUGCUGGGAUGUGAUGGGGAGCGAAAUUUAGUAGCGAAGUAGCUGAUUUCACACUGUCAAGAAAAGUCUCUAUCGAGGUUAAAGGUACCCGUACCGCAAACCGACACAGGUGGGUGAGGAGAGUAUCCUAAGGCCAGCGAGAGAACUGUUGUUAAGGAACUCGGCAAAAUGACCCCGUAACUUAGGGAUAAGGGGUGCCACCAUCAGGUGGCCGCAGAGA